rnacentral:pre_miRNA from 14 species
UCUUCGGAGUCUGGGGUGGUCGCGAAGAUCCCCGACAAGCCCCCAAAUGAAAGGUCCCAUGCAGAGAGACCCUUACUCAAGUCUUGGGAAAUCGCGGACCCCAGACACAGAGAGACCA